GAUGAAGAACGCAGUGAAAUGCGAUAAGUAAUGUGAAUUGCAGAAUUCAGUGAAUCAUCGAGUCUUUGAACGCACAUUGCGCCCCCUGGUAUUCCGGGGGGCAUGCCUGUCCGAGCGUCAUUGCUGCCCUCAAGCACGGCUUGUGUGUUGGGCCCCGCCCCCCGGCUCCCGGGGGGUGGGCCCGAAAGGCAGCGGCGGCACCGCGUCCGGUCCUCGAGCGUAUGGGGCUUCGUCACCCGCUCCGUAGGCCCGGCCGGCGCCCGCCGGCGACCCCCCUCAAUCUUUUCAGGUUGACCUCGGAUCAGGUAGGGAUACCCGCUGAACUUAAGCAUAUCAAUAAGCGGAGGA
rnacentral:misc_RNA from 1 species